rnacentral:rRNA from 1 species
UACGUAGGUGGCAAGCGUUAUCCGGAAUUAUUGGGCGUAAAGCGCGCGCAGGCGGUUUCUUAAGUCUGAUGUGAAAGCCCACGGCCUCAACCGUGGAGGGUCAUUGGAAACUGGGGAACUUGAGUGCAGAAGAGAAAAGCGGAAUUCCACGUGUAGCGGUGAAAUGCGUAGAGAUGUGGAGGAACACCAGUGGCGAAGGCAGCAAACUGGCCGGCAUCUGACGCUGAGGCGCGAAAGCGUGGGUAGCAAACAGG